rnacentral:lncRNA from 1 species
UGGCUUUUCCGCCGGCGGCGGCGGCGACGGCCAUGGCGGCUCGGCGCGCGCUCCGGGCCGGAGCUCGCAUCCACGCCGUGCGCAGUGCCCGACUCCUCGCGGCGCUGGCCUGGGGGCCGGUGGCCGGAGCUGCGCUUCCCUGUGCGCCCAAGACCUGUGUGUUGGGGGGUGCGCGGCGAGGUCCCGGCGCCCCCGCAGAGCAUCGCGAACCCGGCGGCGCUCGCCGCACCCUCCCAGCGCCGAGGUCUUGGGAGUUGGCCUGCGGGGACCAGAGCCACCUGCCGGGGUCUCAGGAAGGGCAGUGACUGGAGGCUCUGAACCACAGGCGAGAAUGACCCGCCCUCAGGAUCCAGACCACGAUCCGUGGGCCCAGCUCGGUCCUGCGUGACUGGUCCGUGGGACAGACCUGCAGAUGUGGCUCUGAUCCUGGACAGCAGCCGCGCUGUCCUGAGGCCCACCAGCCAAGGAGAGGAAGCUCAGCCAGCGAGAGGACAGUGGUCCCGGCUCCAGCACCAGGGCGCGUGCCCACUGUGUUGUCCGCAAAGUCAGCUGUCCUCGGUUCCCAUGGAGCCUGGAGCCAGGAAGCCACCGCCUGAGCCGGCACCCCCUCCAGCGCGCUGGAGAUGACGGGGGCAGCGGAGCUGGGAAGGCAACCCCCGGAGGAGGCUGGGUUCUGCAUGUGCCAAGUGCCGCCUGGCAGGGGCAGUGGCUGUGGAAGCGGAAGCAGACGGGUCCAGGGACGUGGCAUGUCGUGCGGGGACUGUGCGGGGCCCAGGAGGGCGCCCCUCGGCCGGUUGUUCCUCCAGUGGCCGUGGGGGUGCCCCCUGUCCUCACCGUCUGGGUUACCUCGCCCGCCUGCCCGCCCCGAAGUAUCUGGGAUGAGAUUUAAGCAGCAGUGCCAAGAAUGUGGACCCUGCAGGUGACACUUUGGAACAUGGUGUUUUAAGCAAAAUGGAAGGAUUUAAUGCCUUUUUCUUCAACGAGAAGGGUGUCUAGAGAAUAAAUGGGUCUUGAAUAAAAAAAAAAAAAAAAA